AGGUACUGAGAGUGGACCUUUUAGGA
rnacentral:misc_RNA from 1 species